CAGAGGUCCCGAGCGUUGUUCGGAUUCACUGGGCGUAAAGGGUGCGUAGGUGGUUGGGCAAGUCUGAUGUGAAAUCUCCGGGCUUAACCCGGAAAUGGCAUUGGAAACUGCCUGGCUAGAGUGUUGAGGGGGGACUGGAAUUCUCGGUGUAGCAGUGAAAUGCGUAGAUAUCGAGAGGAACACCAGUGGCGAAGGCGAGCCCCUGGACAACGACUGACACUGAGGCACGAAAGCUAGGGGAGCAAACAGGAUUAGAUACCCUGGUAGUCCUAGCCGUAAACGGUGCUUGCUUGCUGUAAAAGGAAUCGACCCCUUUUGUGGCGAAGCCAACGCGAUAAGCAAGCCGCCUGGGAAGUACGGUCGCAAGAUUA
rnacentral:rRNA from 1 species